rnacentral:lncRNA from 1 species
CUCACUUAAUUCCCUGGUUGACAUCACCACCGCCUCCAUCCUUUCCUUCUCGGCACUGCAGCCUGCAGCCUGGCGCAUCCUGGAAGAGAAGGCGGUGCAGGGCUCUUGCCAGGAGCUACCAGGGCGGUGCUGAUCCAGUGUGGUCAGUGGCACACGGAGGAUGCUAUGGGCUCAGCAGAGUGGUGAGUGACAGGGGUGACCAGAGACUGUGCUGUUCCUCCCUUUAGAGACGGACAGCAGGGGGGCGAAGCUCAGGUGCCAGGAGAGAGGCUCAGGACCCGGUCUGUGAUGGGAGGCUGCCUGAGCCUGGCCUGCCAGGGAGGCGGUGAGGGAAGUGGGUGGGGAGGGUGGGGAGAAGAGCCAACCCUUUGAACUGCCCCAAGAGCAGCCUCUGUGGCCCCAGGAGACAGCGCCUCAAAUGUCGCUGCCCCGGGCCAGGGAAGGGGGAAGAGGAGGUUUCUUAACACCAGUCACUUUUACUCUAGUUAUUUGACCAAAACGAAUUGUUCUUAGAAGGAAGAAGAAGAAGAAAAAAACAACAACAAACAAAAAACCAAAAAACCCACCACUGAGGUCACUUCUAUUACCCGAGCAGCUGAGGGAAAGAUCCUGCGAGCAGAUAACGUACCUGGGCCAGGGCUCUCCCCCAGCCCUCACCCCCUGCACAUAAUCUCGCCGCCUGGCCACCCUGCACCCAAACCCCAGCUGCUGCCUUGGCAUCCUGGAAGGUUCUAGAAGGCCGUUCCAAUCUUUUCCAGGAUCUCCUGGCACACACUGCUGGGUCCUGGGUACAUUUAUUGUCCUAUCUCCUUGACAGCAGCUCCAGGCCUCAGGAGGGAAUACCUGCACCAUCCAUACAUGAUCCCUUUACCUCAGUGCUUCUCAGCUGGACACAGUUUUGCCCCCAGGGAGCAUUUGGCUGAAGAUAAUUUUGGUUGUCACAGGUGGGAGGUGGCACCGCUGGCAUCUAGUAGACAUGAGAGAUGGUGCUGAACAUGUUCCAGGGCCCAGGACAGCCCCCACAACGAAGAAAUAUCCAGCCCCCAAUGUCAAGACUGUCACAGUUGAGAAACUUUGAUUUAAACAAAUCCACAGAUUAAGGAUUAAAAUAAUGGCCAAAAUAGAGGCAGUGGCUCAUGCAG